CCUACGGGCGGCUGCAGUGGGGAAUAUUGGACAAUGGGGGCAACCCUGAUCCAGCCAUGCCGCGUGUGUGAAGAAGGCCCUCGGGUUGUAAAGCACUUUCAGUGAGGAAGAACGCCUGGUGGUUAAUACCCAUCAGGAAAGACAUCACUCACAGAAGAAGCACCGGCUAACUCCGUGCCAGCAGCCGCGGUAAUACGGAGGGUGCGAGCGUUAAUCGGAAUUACUGGGCGUAAAGCGCGCGUAGGUGGCUUGAUAAGCCGGUUGUGAAAGCCCCGGGCUCAACCUGGGAACGGCAUCCGGAACUGUCAAGCUAGAGUGCAGGAGAGGAAGGUAGAAUUCCCGGUGUAGCGGUGAAAUGCGUAGAGAUCGGGAGGAAUACCAGUGGCGAAGGCGGCCUUCUGGACUGACACUGACACUGAGGUGCGAAAGCGUGGGUAGCAAACAGGAUUGGAUACCCGAGUAGUC
rnacentral:rRNA from 1 species